ensembl:lncRNA
UGGUUACAGCAGUGUUUCUAUUUAUUUUAUUUUAUUUUCUAAUUUCAGAUGAGGACAUGCCUUCAGACAAUGGAUUCUCUCAAAGUUAUCCUCCCCAGGGAACUGGUUUCAGAUGGUGUCUUAGAGUACAAAAUCCCAUCUAGCACCAUUUGAAAUCGGUGUUCUUGAGUGGGAACACACUUCGGGAGUGAUGUCACUGAACCAUAUUCUUCAUUAGGUUGACAGAAAGUUUACUGCAUUGUUUGUGUCAUAAAUUUAGAUGUAGCUCCAGAUUUCUUGUACAUUUCUCCAUGUAAUAUUCCAAUCCUAAUGCUCAGUAAAUCAGAAAAAAACACCAGUUUGAUCCCAGUUCUCUGACCACUAGACCCCCCUCUCCCCCUCUUACCAAGGCUGACCGUUUUCCUCUGGUGUUCAGAGUUUCCAUCAUGUCUAGCACCAUUUGAAAUCGGUUACAAUGUGGAGGGACUAUCAACAAAGAUUUUGCUUCAGUUGCAGAUGGAAUUCCACUAGAUGGCAGCAUUGCUCUACAAUCUCCAGAAUUGUCCAGGCUUGCCAAUAAAGAAUUCUUGAAGCAGUAUAUUAUUUUAGGGUCUUUGCCUUAUGAUAUAAAGCCUGUUGAGGCAGCUGUUGUUGUGAUUUGGUGUUAUAUUACUGAACUGAACUGACAGUGAAAGAUUUUCUGAGUAACCCUGUUCAUUCAGGAGACCAAGAAGAAACGUGCAGGGUGAAGCAAAACUUUUUGAAAGGAUUAAAAAGGAAAAAAGACCCUUUGCCAUGUUCCAGUCACUCAGCCAUGUUAUCUGCAAAUUACAGACAUGUCUUCUGAGUUUCUUCCAAGAACAUAAAAAAGGGAUUAUAUGCUUCAGUGGUUAACUGGUCCAGAUGUUGUGGUAUAGGGUUCAUGUAGUUCUUUAAAAUGUACAUCUGUCCUUUAGUCAUCGAAACUGUGUAUUGCAUUUAAAUUAUGCACAUGACAGUUUUUCUAAACAGUUUUAGCCUGACACUAACACUAUCAAUAUUAUCUAAUUAUGUGUAAUAUAUUUUGUUUUUAAACUUUUUGGAUUAAUUUAGUAGCAACACCAUACUGUUUUUAGGGAGAGAGAAGCUCAGCAUCAGCCGCUGAAUCAUUUUUUAAUUAUAGCCUACAGUUUAUCCAGUGUUCAUGCAGGAUUUGUUUUUCUUGUUUAUGAGCUUUAAGCUAAAUUAUUGCAUGUAAUCAUAUAAUACGUGCCUGACAGACUCUCACGCGCUUCAUUUACCUGGACACUAGAUGGGGAACAAGAACCAGUAUUAGCCUAAAACAUUAAGCCACUAAAUGGCAACCUUUUCACCCUCUACACCUCACGUAGCUGACAUAUGCAUUAAAACUGGGGUCUUUUUGAAUAAAUUACUGAAAAUUCUUAAUUAAAAUUUCUGAGUGAUUAACCUCACCUAAGAGGGUUCAGAAAUGCAUAAUUUGAAAAGGUUAAUAGUAGGUUGCCAGGAAUCAAUCUAACCACUACAUAAAGAUUAAUUUAAGUCUGUAUUUACAUCACAAAUCAGACUAAAUUGACCACUAUAUAGAUAUUCUUUUCUCGUUACCCACCUAUUUACACUUAAAGAGUCAUAUUUCAUACUAUAUUAUGUGAAGUAUCAAAACUGACAUGAUAAAAAAGUGCACAGGCUGCC